AUAUUAUUCUUGUACUGUCUGUUGUAGGGAUAUUAAUGGGUAUGGAUAUCUGAAAUUUUAUCCCAACUCGAACCGGAACGGAGCGGAUUUAUUCGAUACUAAAUGGAUAUGAUUUUGGAUAUGGAUACCAAAAAUAAAAACCGGAUAGGUAUGGAUAUGGAUUCGGAUAUAGAUUUUGACUGUACCCGACUCGAACCCGACCCAAGCCCAAAUUUAUUUUACAUUAUUAUAUAUAAUAUGUAUAUAAAAAUUUGAUGUUAUUUUGAAUUCGUAUUUUAAAAUUUUAGAUUUAGUGUAAUAUAUUUUGAAAUAUUGAAAAGAGAAAUAAUUGUUUCGGGUUCCGAUUUUUCGAUUCAGGUUCGGGUUUUGAAUUUUUGGUCGGAUUCGGAUUUGGAUAUGGCUUUUUAAAAUCCGUCGAAUUUAGAUUUGGGUUCGGAUUUUGGGUUUGGAGUCGGGUUCGGAUUUAGAUUUUUGAAAAUUGGCA
rnacentral:lncRNA from 1 species